GUGAGGAAUAUUGGUCAAUGGAGGCAACUCUGAACCAGCCAUGCCGCGUGCAGGAAGACGGUCCUAUGGAUUGUAAACUGCUUUUAUUUAGGAAUAAACCCCCGGUCGUGCACCGGGGCUGAAUGUACUAAAAGAAUAAGCACCGGCUAACUCCGUGCCAGCAGCCGCGGUAAUACGGAGGGUGCAAGCGUUAUCCGGAAUCAUUGGGUUUAAAGGGUCCGCAGGCGGGUAAAUAAGGCAGAGGUGAAAUCCGGCAGCUCAACUGUCGCACUGCCUUUGAUACUGUUUAUCUUGAAUUUUAGUGGAGUGGGCGGAAUAUGUCAUGUAGCGGUGAAAUGCUUAGAUAUGACGUGGAACACCGAUAGCGAAGGCAGCUCACUAACUAUGAAUUGACGCUCAUGGACGAAAGCGUGGGUAGCAAACAGGAUUAGAUACCCCGGUAGUCC
rnacentral:rRNA from 1 species